rnacentral:rRNA from 1 species
GAGUUUGAUCCUGGCUCAGGAUGAACGCUGGCGGCGUGCCUAAUACAUGCAAGUCGAGCGAACAGAUAAGGAGCUUGCUCCUUUGACGUUAGCGGCGGACGGGUGAGUAACACGUGGGUAACCUACCUAUAAGACUGGAAUAACUCCGGGAAACCGGGGCUAAUGCCGGAUAACAUUUAGAACCGCAUGGUUCUAAAGUGAAAGAUGGUUUUGCUAUCACUUAUAGAUGGACCCGCGCCGUAUUAGCUAGUUGGUAAGGUAACGGCUUACCAAGGCAACGAUACGUAGCCGACCUGAGAGGGUGAUCGGCCACACUGGAACUGAGACACGGUCCAGACUCCUACGGGAGGCAGCAGUAGGGAAUCUUCCGCAAUGGGCGAAAGCCUGACGGAGCAACGCCGCGUGAGUGAUGAAGGUCUUCGGAUCGUAAAACUCUGUUAUUAGGGAAGAACAAAUGUGUAAGUAACUGUGCACGUC